GACGAACGCUGGCGGCGUGCCUAAUACAUGCAAGUUGAGCGCUGAAGGUUGGUACUUGUACCAACUGGAUGAGCAGCGAACGGGUGAGUAACGCGUGGGGAAUCUGCCUUUGAGAGGGGGACAACAUUUGGAAACGAAUGCUAAUACCGCAUAAAAACUUUAAACACAAGUUUUAAGUUUGAAAGAUGCAAUUGCAUCACUCAAAGAUGAUCCCGCGUUGUAUUAGCUAGUUGGUGAGGUAAAGGCCAAACAAGGCGAUGGUACAUAGCCGACCUGGUAGGGGGGACGGCCACAAUGGGACUGGGACAACGCCCAAGCUCCCACGGGAAGCAGCAAGAGGGGAACUUCGGCAAUGGGCGGAAGGCUGACCGAGCCACGCCGCGUGAGGGAAGGAGGUUUUCGGGUCGUAAAACUCUGUUGGUAGGGAAGAACGAUGGGGAGAAUGGAAAGCUCAUCAAGUGACGGUAACUACCCAGAAAGGGACGGCUAACUACGUG
rnacentral:rRNA from 1 species